GAGUGGGUCAGUGUACUUCAUUCAUUACGUCCAUUUUCUUAAGUAUCGAAACUGUACUUCUUUUUCAGUUUAGUAAUAAUAGUAA
rnacentral:ribozyme from 1 species